rnacentral:lncRNA from 1 species
UCUUAAAUUGGCGGGGCGAGCAAAGGUCGUGGAGAAGACCCCGGGAAGCUGCUGGAGCCGGCAGAGGAGGAAUCCCAGGUUUUGCGCGGAACUGGCCACUGUAAGUGGUUCAAUGUGCGCAUGGGAUUUGGAUUCAUCUCCAUGAUAAACCGAGAGGGAAGCGCCUUGGAUAUUCCAGUCGAUGUAUUUGUACACCAAUUCCUGUGA